rnacentral:siRNA from 1 species
AGUAGCAAAUAUUCAAAUGA